AUUGAACGCUGGCGGCAGGCUUAAUACAUGCAAGUCGAGCGAGCGGCGGACGGGUGAGUGAUGUAUGGGAAACUGCCUGAUGGAGGGGGAUGACUACUGUAAACGGUAGCUAAUAGCGCAUACAGUCAGAUGGGCCCUGAUGGGAUUAGCUAGUAGGUGGGGUAACGGCUCAUCUAGGCGAAGAUCCCUAGCUGGUCUGAGAGGGUGACCAGCCACCCUGGAACUGAGACACGGUCCAGACUCCUACGGGAGGCAGCAGUGGGGAAUAUUGGACAAUGGGCGAAAGCCUGAUGCAGCCAUGCCGCGUGUGUGAAGAAGGCCUUCGGAUUGUAAAGCACUUUCGGCGAGGAGGCGUUAUCCACAGAAGAAGCACCGGCUAACUCCGUGCCAGCAGCCGCGGUAAUAC
rnacentral:rRNA from 1 species